CAGGGUAGGUACUUGGCGUCAAGUGACUGAGAAUGGGACGUUGUCUCAGUACGAAAAAUUAUUUUACGAUCAAGUAACCGCGUUCACUGC
rnacentral:ncRNA from 1 species